AUUUGAAUGAUGAAAUAAAUCAUUCGGAUUCCCACUGAAUAUAAAUUUGAUUAUAAAAGAUGAUUCUUGACUCUU